rnacentral:miRNA from 1 species
GUGGUUUGUUUUGUGUUUUU